UUCCUACGGGGGGCAGCAGUGAGGAAUAUUGGUCAAUGGACGCAAGUCUGAACCAGCCAUGCCGCGUGCAGGAUGACGGCUCUAUGAGUUGUAAACUGCUUUUGUACGAGGGUAAUAUCGGAUACGUGUAUCCGCUUGAAAGUAUCGUACGAAUAAGCAUCGGCUAACUCCGUGCCAGCAGCCGCGGUAAUACGGAGGAUGCGAGCGUUAUCCGGAUUUAUUGGGUUUAAAGGGUGCGUAGGCGGCCUGUUAAGUUAGUGGUUAAAUGUCGGGGCUAAACCCCGGAUUGCCAUUAAAACUGGCGG
rnacentral:rRNA from 1 species